AUCCUGUCUCUGGCAACUACAAGGGACACUAUCCUUCCAUCCCCAUCCUUUUUAUAAACACCUUUCAGGGCUACUUCCUGUUUGUCUGCAUUGUCGUUUAAGGGUGGUACCCAAAAGUGGACACAGUACUCCAGGGCGCCUGAUUCUUCUUGUGUGAUAUUCCAGUACUUCUCUGUGUGGAUAGUGACUCCCAAAUUUGGGCCAUCGGCAAACUGCAUCAGCAUGCUUUGUCUGGGGAAGGUAACCUGCCUUUGCUCCCAUGUUCAUCAUCAACAACAACUAUAAUGAAAAGAGAGGCAAAGUAUUUGUUUGCUUUUGGGGCCAUACUUAGACAGUACAAGCCGUGUACCUCAUCAGCUUAUGUUUGACAUCUAAAACAGGGAACCCCUGCCCCUGUUACAAGGAUGGCUGCGGAGAGGGCAGGCAGUUAAAAGGACAGCAGAGGUAUAUCUAACCAAGGCCUGGCAGCUAAUGAGCAACUGGAUGCACCAGGCUGUUGGGUGCAGCAAAUCAGUUAGGUGAUUGUAAGGGGAUUGGGUUAAGGGCUUUAAGACCAGCCUAGGGUCAGGCGGUGGGAGAGAGGAGCUCUGAAGAUGGACAUAUACCUGAGCCACUCAAGGAAGUUGGGGAGAAGGCUCCUGAGCAGGUAAGGCCUGCAGGCAACAUUCACAGGAGGAAAGAGACUACUCGUUUUUUUUGGAAGCAGUUGGUUUGUGUUUUGUUUGGUCCGGACUUGUUACCGGAGGAUCAGGCUGUGAUACAGGGGUGGAGGAGCCCACGAACAGGGGUGCUGAGUGUGCUUCUGGCUAUAGGGGUCAGGAGAUAGCCCCAAGUUGAGAAGCAGAGACUGACACAUGGAGACAAAACCCCACCCCUAAAAAGGGAGGCUGCCAUUAAGGCAAAACCUCAGAGGCUGAGGUCUUAUUCAGUGGAGCAAGGCAGGGGUGUGGCCUGAGAAAAAAAAGGGGACUUGGGCUAGGAUAGCUGAAGCCCAAAUGAGCCCGCAGAAACCCAUGAGAGCACUGGGUGAAGGGCUGGACAGAGGACCCAGGCAGGGUGGCCGACCUGAUCAGAUGGACCAGGCUACUCAUGAGGCUGCUACUGGUCUGAGGAAUUCCCACUCUCCAACAGCAAAGUUGUAGCAGACAAGAAACUGGAGGUACGAGAAGGCUGGAAAAGGGGCAGAUGCUACCUCGGUUAUACUAUGCACUUCCCUUCUUUCCAAUCCAUCUGUCCCACAUGGAGAAAACUCUUAUUGCCCCAAAGCCUCUGCUUGUCAUCCUCUGCUGCAAAAUCUUACAUGGAUUGUCAAUGAAUUCUAUGCUCUGGGAGGAUAUACUUGUAGCAGCCAGACAGGCAUUUAUUUAGCACAACUUCUUAAGGCCUAGAGAGGAUUAACCUGUGUGUAGUCAGAAUACUGACAUGGUAACACUUCAGCGAUAGUUGGUAGAAAAUUAAAAAAGGGAUUCAUCCUGCCCUUGGAGACUUCAGGGAUACGGAGCCUUUCACCUUUGGGAUAACAGUGUCAUUUCAAGCAGAUGAUUGGUGGAUUAUGGUGAAGUGAGCAGGGCAGGGCUUUGGAAAGCAGCUUCCCCUCAAACAGACAUUACCAAAGUCAUUACCAUUUCCCUUUGCCUCUUGGAUGCUUUUAGGUACAUGAAUCACAGAGGCCCAAAGCAUCACAAAUAAGUUUUACAAUUGUCUAAGCAGAAUUUUAAUUUGCUCCUACGCAGGGUCAAAUAAAAACACGAUAAUGUCCUGGUCUGUGACUGUGGAUCCUUGUUUCCAUCACUGUAGCACCAAACAGACAACAUGCAGAGGAACAUGUUGCACACUUUCUGGAAUGACUGGAGGGUUGUGAGAGGUAAGACAGGUGCCCCAAGAGAUACAGGAAUGCAACACACCUCCCACAUUGUCUAACUUGUGCUGCAUCACAAGUGCCUUCACUCCGAGCUUACACUCCUGGCUGAUGGUUGUCAACCAUGCAGGCUCUUGGCACAUCCACAGCCAAUGCUGGGUGAAGGUUGCGCACUCCAGGAUGAGUGAGGGGACACUAGCACCAGGGGGAGGAGUGACUAUUG